rnacentral:rRNA from 1 species
CUAAACUUCCAGAAUUGUGCGGUGGUUAACAUUCUGAAAGGAGAAGUGGACUGUGCUAAGCCGAUGGAACUGUUAUCUGCUACUUUUUGCAAAACUAAACACUGGCCUUGGCAAAUCAGAGGGCUCUCCAGUAAGACGUUUUUAGUUAGAUUUCCCCCUUCAAAUAAAGUGGAGGACCUCAUCGAAUUACCUGGGUUCUCCCUGCCGCAAGAUGUGAAUGUGACACUGACUGAAUGGAAAGGGGGGUGUGAGCCUUUUGGAGAGUUGAUUGAAGCAUGGGUGCUGAUUGAGGGGAUUCCUCCCAAGUGGUCUACCUAGAAGGUGUUUGCCCAAAUUGCUUCACUGUUUGGAGUGCUUAUAGAUGUGGACUGGAAUGGUAUGUUUAGAACUUUCUUUGAGAAUGUCAGAAUCAAAAUAGCCUGCAGAGACCCAACCAAGAUUCCUAUUGAGAGAUUGAUUGAGAUGAAGAAAAAACUGUUUCUACUUGGUUUUACUGUGGAAGGUUUUGAGCAAGCGGGAGGUGUUGACUCUGUCAUUGACUUGGAUGAGGAUGAGGAUGGUAAUGAGGAAGAUGAGGGUGCUGAGGAAGAACAGACUGAAAAAGAGAAUGGAGCUCAAGAGGAGCAUGCUUCUGAAGGAUCAGGCGAAGAUGAUCAGGCAAUUGAUGAACUACACAAAGCUAAUUUUACAACUAAACAGGUAACUUCAAACAAAUCUGGUAGUCAAAAAGGGGUGGUUACACCUAUGGGAUAUGGAAAUGAUACUGAUCAGGAGGAGUUCAUCAUGAAGUGUGCUUUGGCUGCUGUUGAUUUUGAGGAUUCAUCAUCUGCUGGGCACACUGGCUUUGCUGGUAACCUCAAAGAACAAAACCACAUUUCUGAUAGGAAGGAAAAGAAAGAGGGAAAAUGA